AAGAUUUCACUAAAAGUAAAAGUCUUCAUGUGCCAUCUUUGUAAGGGAGUUGUGCCAAUCAAAGACAACCUUGCACGGCGCAACUGGCCAGGAAGUAAGCAGUGUUGCUUUUGUGGUUAUGACGAGAUUGUCAAGCAUCUCUUUUUCCAAUGCAAGUUUGCACGUUCUACAUGGUCAACCAUCCAAAUAGCGUCAAAUCUAUAUCCGCCCACUAGUGUUGCCAAUAUAUUCGGUCAUUGGUUGAACGGUAUUCAAAAUAGGUUUAAUACCCUAAUGAGGGUAGGAGCGUAUGCCUUACUUUGGUCGCUUUCACUAUGUAGAAAGGAUUUAGUUUUAACGAAAAAAUGA
rnacentral:rRNA from 1 species